CUACGGGCGGCAGCAGCUAAGAAUCUUCCGCAAUGGACGAAAGUCUGACGGAGCGACGCCGCGUGCAUGAUGAAGGCCGAAAGGUUGUAAAGUGCUUUUCUAUAGGAAGAAUAAGGUACAGAGGAAAUGCUGUAUCGAUGACGUUACUUUAGGAAUAAGCCCCGGCUAAUUACGUGCCAGCAGCCGCGGUAACACGUAAGGGGCGAGCGUUGUUCGGAAUUAUUGGGCGUAAAGGGUGCGUAGGCGGUUAUAUAAGUCUGGUGUGAAAGGCUACAGCUCAACUGUAGUUUGCGCUGGAAACUGUAUGACUAGAGUUUAGGAGGGGUAUCUGGAAUUCCUAGUGUAGGGGUGAAAUCUGUAGAUAUUAGGAAGAACACCGGUGGCGAAGGCGAGAUACUGGCCAUAAACUGACGCUGAGGCACGAAAGCGUGGGGAGCGAACAGGAUUAGAUACCCUAGUAGUC
rnacentral:rRNA from 1 species